GUGAACGCUGGCGGUAGGCCUAACACAUGCAAGUCGAACGGCAGCACAGUAAGAGCUUGCUCUUACGGGUGGCGAGUGGCGGACGGGUGAGGAAUACAUCGGAAUCUACUUUUUCGUGGGGGAUAACGUAGGGAAACUUACGCUAAUACCGCAUACGACCUACGGGUGAAAGCAGGGGAUCUUCGGACCUUGCGCGAUUGGAUGAGCCGAUGUCGGAUUAGCUAGUUGGCGGGGUAAAGGCCCACCAAGGCGACGAUCCGUAGCUGGUCUGAGAGGAUGAUCAGCCACACUGGAACUGAGACACGGUCCAGACUCCUACGGGAGGCAGCAGUGGGGAAUAUUGGACAAUGGGCGCAAGCCUGAUCCAGCCAUACCGCGUGGGUGAAGAAGGCCUUCGGGUUGUAAAGCCCUUUUGUUGGGAAAGAAAAGCAGCAGGUUAAUACCCCGCUGUUCUGACGGUACCCAAAGAAUAAGCACCGGCUAACUUCGUG
rnacentral:rRNA from 1 species